CUCAUAUGUGCAAUAGAAUGGCCGUCCUGCGCUGACGGAUGGCUCUUUGGCGUGGCCUCUACAACGUUAAAGUUUAGAACUGAAAAUUUUUGACACACUGGUAUGUCUUUAGACAUGCUUGAUAGUUCUCUUAAUGUUUGGUUUCAUUUCUCAUUAGAUGCCUACUCAGACAUCUUGAUAUUGCACACAAGUGCUCGAUUCUGAAAAUAUCCUCUAGUGAGGUAGUCAUUCGCUUUUGCCAUUAGGUGUGCCUACUAUGCAACAUGUUUCAUUGAGGGAGAAGUUUCCAUCCA